rnacentral:rRNA from 1 species
AAAACGGAAACGACCCCCGGCAACGGAUAUCUCGGCUCUCGCAUCGAUGAAGAACGUAGC